AGGUCCCGUAGCUCAGUUGGUUAGAGCGUUGGUCUUAUGAGCCGAAGGUCGCGGGUUCGAGCCCCGCCGGGACCACACCAAUGGUUUUAUUUUAAAAUUAAAAUUCUGUUUAGUAGAAAGAAAAAACGACGUAU